UGUGUCUUCUUGUAAUGAUGACUUUUUGUCUGAUCACAAGGCUGUUUCUAUGCAUUCUCAUGUAAAUAGUUCCACUUGUAAUAAUGAUUUUACAUCUGAUAUGAAUUACAUUUGGCACUUAAGACUUGCACAUACUCCUUUUGCAAAUAUGAAAUGCAUUUCUGGUUUGUCUUUUCCAUUUGUUUCCAAACAACCCUUUCCCUGUACAGUCUGUCCUAUGGCCAGACAGACUAGGCUUCC
rnacentral:lncRNA from 1 species